GACGUAGGGUCCAAGCGUUGUCCGGAUUUACUGGGCGUAAAGAGCGCGUAGGCGGUCUAGUAAGUGUGAAGUGAAAUCUCCAGGGCUCAACCCGGAAACUGCUUUACAUACUGCAAGACUGGAGUGAUGAAGAGGUUUGUGGAAUUCCUGGUGUAACGGUGAAUGUGUUGAUAUCAGGAGGAACACCCAUGGCGAAGGCAGCAAACUGGUCAUCAACUGACGCUGAGGCGCGAAAGCGUGGGUAGCAACAGGAUUGAGAUAC
rnacentral:rRNA from 1 species